GAUUCACUGUAUGGUGGUGUCACAAAAUCGGAGGCCCCGACUGUUUACUAAAAACACAAUUCAGAGCAAUGAUGAAAAUCAUAGUAUUCUGGAUGAAAUUUGCCCGAUGCCAUUAACAUAAAUGAGGUAAUGGGAAACUGUUACUAAAUGAAAGUCUGGUUAAUAGCGGUCUUAACUAUGAGGAUCAAUAAAACCUUUAGGGUCCUCUUUAAACUCGAUGAUAUGCUGGAACAUCCUAAAGCUUUAAGUACUAAU
rnacentral:rRNA from 1 species